rnacentral:rRNA from 1 species
AAUGAACGUUGGCGACAUGGAUUAGGCAUGCAAGUCGAGCGAGAAGUGUAGCAAUACACGGAAAGCGGCGGAAGGGAGAGUAAUACGUGGGAAUCUGCCCUUAGACCUGGGAUAGCAGCGGGAAACUGCUGGUAAUACCAGAUAAUGUCUAUGGACCAAAGGUGUGAUUCCGUCUAGGGAUGAGCCCACGUCCUAUUAGCUAGUUGGUAGGGUAAUGGCCUACCAAGGCGAUGAUGGGUAGCGGGUGUGAGAGCAUGACCCGCCUCACUGGGACUGAGACACUGCCCAGACACCUACGGGUGGCUACAGUCGAGAAUCGUCGGCAAUGGGCGCAAGCCUGACCGAGCGAUGCCGCGUGCGGGAUGAAGGCCUUCGGGUUGUAAACCGCUGUCGAGGGGGAGCAACUUCCAUAGAGUUAUCUUUAUGGAUUGAGUGAUCCCUGGAGGAAGGACGGGCUAAGUUCGUGCCAGCAGCCGCAGUAAAAC